UCCUCCUCCGACCUGCUUCUCCCUCCGGUGUUCCUGCAGCCAACUCCUCCUUCGCAUCAGGUGAUUCCCCUCUCCCCGCCCCCUGCAUCUCCUUGCCCCCACGCUAGGGUUUCUCCUCUCCUCUCCUCACACCUUUUCUUGCAGAUCCUGCAAAAAAUCGCGGUCGGGGGAGCCCUACGGUGGCUGUGAGAGACCCGACGUUGAGCUCCGGGGCCACUUCAUCGGCAAGGAAGAAUGCUGCUAUAUUCGACAAGUAACAAGGAUGAAUGAUGAAUCAGAAAUCUCAACUCUUCCAUUUUUUGGAUGCAUUCUUCUGAAGGGAAUCGAUCUAUUUUUUGUGUCAGUUUCAUAUGCUGCUGAAAGCACUAGGAGGACAUAGUGCUUGAACGAUAUUGUAUUCUAGUUAUGCCCAUCUCUGUUGGAUGAUGACAUGAAUAGAUUGGCGGUAGUCUACUCUAUGAUCUCAACGUGCUCCUGAAGCCUGAAUUCAUGAUGCAACAAAUUUAUUAUGAUUUUAUCAAGCA